UACGUAGGGGGCGAGCGUUGUCCGGAGUUACUGGGCGUAAAGGGCAUGCAGGCGGUCAGGCGCGUUUUGUGUGACAGCGGAUGGCUUAACUAUCCGAGGAUACGAGAUACGGCGUGACUUGAGAGCGCGAGAGGGACACGGAAUUCCGGGUGGAGUGGUGAAAUGCGUAGAGAUCCGGAGGAACACCGAAGGCGAAGGCAGUGUCCUGGCGCGUAUCUGACGCUGAGGUGCGAAAGCCAGGGGAGCGAACGGG
rnacentral:rRNA from 1 species